GUUUCAGAAGGACCCUUGUAGGGUUGAAGC
rfam:Natrinema sp. J7-2, complete genome.